GACGAACGCUGGCGGCAUGCCUAAUACAUGCAAGUCGAGCGGAGUUUGAAUGGAAGCUUGCUUCCAUUCUUGCUUAGCGGCGGACGGGUGAGUAACACGUGGGCAACCUGCCUGUAAGACUGGGAUAACUUCGGGAAACCGAGGCUAAUACCGGAUAAUACUUUUUCUCACAUGAGGGAAAGCUGAAAGACGGCGCAAGCUGUCACUUACAGAUGGGCCCGCGGCGCAUUAGCUAGUUGGUGAGGUAACGGCUCACCAAGGCGACGAUGCGUAGCCGACCUGAGAGGGUGAUCGGCCACACUGGGACUGAGACACGGCCCAGACUCCUACGGGAGGCAG
rnacentral:rRNA from 1 species